rnacentral:lncRNA from 1 species
AAAUAUGGAGGUGAACAUCCUGGUGUGAAAUCAACACUUUCCCCAGAGCCUUUUCUGACCCCAGGACGUCACUGGCUAAUUACUCAGACAGGGACCAAAGACCAACCCUUGGUAAAGUUUCUUAUUGCAGCACAUAUGGGAAAGAUCUAUCAUCUCCCCACUGGUCUUUCUCUGUUCGGAGCCAUUGGUGUGGCAGAGGAGAAGCAAUUCACAACUGGAGGAUUAGUCCCCAGGUGGUCUUUGGGAUGAAAGGCCUUGCCAAGUCAAUUAAUUAUAAAAUAAAAGAGAAAGAGAUAGUUUAAGAGAUUAGCAAUAGCUCAGCCAAUGAGACUACCUUUGUGGAGUAAGAAUUAAUUCAGUCUCUGGUAUUGAUUGAGUGCCUGUUGUGUGUGGAGUACUAUACUAAGUGCUUGGGAAAGUAUAAUAAAGUAGACACAAUUCUCUAAUUUUUCAGGACAAAAAUAAUAUCCAGGAUUUAAAACGAUUGUUUGGUAAUUAAUGAAUUUGCUUUUGGGGGUGAGAAGCAAAGAAACAGCGAGGUUAGUCGCUGAUUCAAGAAACGUAGCUUUUUUGAGUUUUAAUGUUUUUUCAUUUGUGACAAACUCUACAAAUAAGUAUAUAUUUAAGUAUAUCCCUUGACGGACGCCUACGUGUGUCUGACCUGAUUAUUUUGAACCUCCCCGCUUUUUAGUAAGUACGGUGCUUGGCGCAAAUGUCUGGCAAAGGUCGCAAUGAUAAUUAAUGUGAUAAUUAUUAAUAAUCAUAAGUUUAAUGUCAGAUAAUAGCGACACAGAGUUCUCUGUGACAAAACUUUCAAAGAAAUGCAUUUCUGAAAAUUAAGCUACUUUCAGAGUUCUUAGAAGGUGGUUUAUAUCGUUCUAAGUGUUCUGUGACAUACUCUCUCCAGCACUUUAUACAGUGCUCAGUAGAUACAAUUGAUUGUAUUAGGUGUUUACGCAUCAUCAUCACAUUUGUGGCUAGAGUGUCUAGAUCUGGUCAGAGGUAAAUUUAAACCUAAGUAGACUUCUAUUCUCAAUUCAAUUGCUGUCACUGCCUGGGUGUGGUAGUGGAUGGGGAAGCAAGGGAAAAAGUCACCG